GACAGAGGUGCCAAGCGUUAGGCGGAAUCACUGGGCUUAAAGCGUGUGUAGGCGGAUUUGUAAGUACCUUGUGAAAUCCCACGGCUCAACCGUGGAACUGCUCGGUAUACUGCUUAUCUUGAGCCACUUAGGGGCUACCGGAACAAAUGGUGGAGCGGUGAAAUGCGUAGAUAUCGUUUGGAACGCCAAUGGUGAAAACAGGUAGCUGGGAGUGUGCUGACGCUGAGACACGAAAGCCAGGGGAGCGAACGGG
rnacentral:rRNA from 1 species